rnacentral:misc_RNA from 1 species
UGCCUCUACAACUACGGGCCCUGCAACCCACCCACUCCCGCCCCCGCUUCAUCCUCUGUCUCCGCCGCUUUCUCUCUUGCGCACUCAGAGACACAGCGAGAACGCGCAGGACACGUCACCACCACUGCUCGCAAAGCAGGCAGGCACGCACGCAGAAACACCCGCGCGCACACAACAGGUGAAUACAUAUUCAACGUCACGCACAUUCGCUAAAAGUUCUUCUUGCGGCCCUCCUCCCCCCGCCCACCUCUCCGUUAUCCGUAUCCGCAUUCUUCAUCACCGCCGUCACCCAUGAGCGUGUACAGCUGGGAAACGGCGGACAGUGCGCACCGUCACCGGAGGAAGGCCAAGAAGACGGGCACCGUUGUUUUCCACACGGACGAGCGCGUGGACACCGCAUUUGACCGUCUCCAGAAGGAGGUGAUUGUAGAGAAGUUGCACUUCUCACGAAAGGAAGCUGAGGAUGCGCUGGCCGAUCCCCAUCACCGCGCCAACUCCGUCAAGACGGCGCUCAUGACGGCCUCGACGGCUAAGGUGCUCCAGAAGACGAUGAACUUCAAGGCGUUGCUGCCAUGCCAGGCGCAGUGCUACCGCGGCAUCUUCAACGGUCGCGACGUCAUUCUGCACAGUCGCACCGGCAGCGGCAAGACCCUUGCCUACGCCCUGCCGCUGAUUGAGCGCCAUCUUCUUCUGGAGCAGCACCAGCAACCUGCAAACGUCGGCGCUACUGCCGGCCCCUUCUUGCUGGUGUUCGUCUUCAGCAAUGACCUCGCUAUGCAGACGAAGCGUGUGCUGGAGAGGGUCUACGGCAAGCAGACCACCCUGCGCAUUGCCGUGGCCGGCUUCGACGACUUGCAUCCCACGUCCGACGGCAGGGUCGUCGACAUCCUUGUUGGGACACUGCGCAGCAUUGACGUGGCGAUCCGCGGCCACCGUGUCGCCGCCGCCGCGACUGCCGCGGAGGAGGCGGAGGCGCAGCGGGAUGCUCAUCUGCCUGGGAAGAAGCGUCCCCGCAGUGCGAGGAAGCCGCAGCAAGCCGUAGCUGCAGCAGCGGAGGAGGAGGAGGACGACGAUGAUGGCGACGCGGCGGCGUCCAUGUCUGAUGACAAUGAGGACGAGGCGAUCGCGGGCCACGGGGACACACGCGAAGCGGGCAUCAUCUCCCCUGCCCGUGUGCGUGCGAUUGUUGUGGAUGAGGUGGACAUCACCCUCGGUCCACGCUUCUCUGCGAUGGGUCGGCGCAUGAAGAAUCUGCUGAAGUUCAUCCGUAAGGCAAACGGCUCGUUGGCGGACGGCCUGCUGAACGACUUUCGCGCGCACCACUACGUCCUCUGCGGUGCGACCAUCCCUAACUGGGUGCUAAAGGCCGGCUUCCUGGGAGUGAAGAAGUACUACUACCAACUCGUUACCGUCGGAUCGGCGAAGUUGCCGCCGCACCUGGAGUGCUUUCAUCAGACGUGCAGCGUGGUGGACCGCGUGCAGACGGCGAUCCGUCUGCUGACGGAGAACACCGCCUUUAAUGGCCGUGUUGUCGUCUUCGGUACACUGAAGCAGCUGACGGCGCUGGAGGCCGGCCUGCACACGGCGACGACAACGAACGCGGCGGUUACUGAGGCGAAGACGACGACGCCGUCGCCCAGCGCGAAGAAAGGCGGCAAGAAAGGCAACGGUAAGAGCGCUGCGGCUGCGGCUGCCGCUGCAUCGUUGUCAUCGCUCUCGUCGUCAUCGUCGCUCAUCGUGCGUGGCCUCACGUCGCAGAAGGACGAGCUAGAUCGUAUGGCCGCCAUCGAAGACUUUAACUGCGGUGUCGCGCAGGUGUUGCUGUGCACCGAUAUCGCGGCGCGUGGGCUUGACUUUACGGAGGUGGACACUGUUCUCAUGCUGAACCUGCCGCGGGACGCGCUGGCCUCGGACACGUUCGUGCACCGCGCCGGACGUACGGCCCGCGUGGGUCGGCCUGGUCGCUGCAUCCUGCUGCACGAUGCGUCGGAGGCAGCCCUGGUGGACGCCAUCGCGAAGUCCACGCACGUCGUGUUCAAGGCGCUGGGUCCCGCCUUGGCUGCUGCUGCUGGUGUGUCUGCGGAUUCACUGAGGGGCGGGAAGGUCAAGACGUCUGCCGCGGCCAACGCUGGUGCCUCUGAUGUGGCGCUGACCUCCAUGAAACUCGUGGUGCGCAACCCGUUCCGCUACACGAAGCCGAACGUGAAGGUGCCGUCUGCGAUGCACGUCUUCAACACCAACCUGGAUGAGCCGUUGAAGGCACUCUUAAAGGACAUUCGCGAAGAGGGUGGGAGCAACGGCGAGGUGGUGCUGUUCCGUGUGCCAAUGAGCCACGUCCACGAGGUGAAGCAGCGGCUGUGGAAGUACACGCUGCAGGAGGCGUAGUCACGCCCGACUGUCGCCGAAGGGGAGAGGGAGAAAAACGACAGAAGAUGUGCAGACUGCAGGGCGAGCGGGGCGGUCCUGCGAUUCCUCUUGCCUCACGCGGGUGCUUUUCACACGUACCCCCAAACCCAUACGACUCUGCCUCUCUCUCUCUCUGCGUCCGUGAUACGAUGCGUGAGCGCCACGAGGAUGUCCAUCGCAGCGAUCAGCGGAUUGACGUUAAACUGGGAAAACUCUCUGCAAUCACCAACCCACCGUUAAGCGAGGGCUGAAGGGGGGAGAGAGAGGGAGGGAGGAAGUGGGGCGAUGCGCAUCACCACCCCGUCCCUCCCUUCCUCCGUCACACUCUUCCUCCCAAAGCAGCAACGACAGCGAUGCACCGUUAAGCGCUAUUCGAUCUAACACACUGACGCUAACGUCUUUUACAUGCUCUGGCCUCCCCAUCUUUUC